AGGGCACACUGAGAACACAGGCAGCUCCUCUGGCCAGCGCAAGGCUCUCAGCCUGACCAUCUUCUUCCACUCUUCCUCCUCAACAUUUUGUCCCAAGGUUUGGGCUCUUGUUUUCUUUCCUGCAGUCGAAAGCUCUUUGCAUCAGUGAAGACGAAAUUUGCUUUGCUGGCAGUCUUUAUUGUGGCUUAAUCAUGGUCAUUUUUGGAUGCUCAUUGCUCUCUUAAUCUUCUCAGGCUUCUUUCGAAGGCUGCUGUUGAUUUCUGGUAACUGAAGCUAUGGAAACUGAAAGCAUGAAUAAUCACAGACUACUAUGUUGUCACGCACCAUUGCUGGGACGAGCAAGUGCUGCCUGCAAAACUCCUUUGGAGGGGUGACUAGAAGCUCUGUGCUUGGCCCUUUACCAGGCUCUGCCCUUUACCAGGCUCUGCCCUGUAUGCCCCUGCCCUCUGCUAUCUCUGAUCUGUAUCCUUGUGCUGUAAUAAAUAAUAACCAUUGGUGUG